rnacentral:rRNA from 1 species
CCUGAACGCUGGCGGCGUGGCUAAGACAUGCAAGUCGCACGGUGUAGCAAUACACAGUGGCGAACGGGAGAGUAAUGAAUCGCUAACGUACCCCAGACUCUGGGAUAGCUACCCGAAAGGGUAGGUAAUACCAAAUGACAUAACCUUGUCGCAUGGCAAGGUUCUCAAAGGUCCGCCGGUCUGGGAGCGGGCGAUUUCGUAUCAGCUAGUUGGUGGGGUAAAGGCCUACCAAGGCGACGACGCGUAGCCGGACUUAGAGGUUGACCGGCCUCAUUGGGACUGAGACACUGCCCAGACUCCUACGGGAGGCAG